rnacentral:rRNA from 1 species
UGGGGAAUAUUGGACAAUGGGCGAAAGCCUGAUCCAGCCAUGCCGCGUGUGUGAAGAAGGUCUUCGGAUUGUAAAGCACUUUAAGUUGGGAGGAAGGGCAUUAACCUAAUACGUUAGUGUUUUGACGUUACCGACAGAAUAAGCACCGGCUAACUCUGUGCCAGCAGCCGCGGUAAUACAGAGGGUGCAAGCGUUAAUCGGAAUUACUGGGCGUAAAGCGCGCGUAGGUGGUUUGUUAAGUUGGAUGUGAAAUCCCCGGGCUCAACCUGGGAACUGCAUUCAAAACUGACUGACUAGAGUAUGGUAGAGGGUGGUGGAAUUUCCUGUGUAGCGGUGAAAUGCGUAGAUAUAGGAAGGAACACCAGGGGCGA